CAUGCAAGUCGAACGAGAGAUGAAGAGCUUGCUCUUCAAAUCGAGUGGCGAACGGGUGAGUAACGCGUGAGGAACCUGCCUCAAAGAGGGGGACAACAGUUGGAAACGACUGCUAAUACCGCAUAAGCCCACGGCUCGGCAUCGAGCAGGGGGAAAAGGAGCAAUCCGCUUUGAGAUGGCCUCGCGUCCGAUUAGCUAGUUGGUGAGGUAACGGCCCACCAAGGCGACGAUCGGUAGCCGGACUGAGAGGUUGAACGGCCACAUUGGGACUGAGACACGGCCCAGACUCCUACGGGAGGCAGCAGUGGGGAAUAUUGCACAAUGGGGGAAACCCUGAUGCAGCGACGCCGCGUGGAGGAAGAAGGUCUUCGGAUUGUAAACUCCUGUUGUUGAGGAAGAUAAUGACGGUACUCAACAAGGAAGUGACGGCUAACUACGUGCCAGCAGCCGCGGUAAAACGUAGGUCACAAGCGUUGUCCGGAAUUACUGGGUGUAAAGGGAGCGCAGGCGGGAGAACAAGUUGGAAGUGAAAUCCAUGGGCUCAACCCAUGAACUGCUUUCAAAACUGUUUUUCUUGAGUAGUGCAGAGGUAGGCGGAAUUCCCGGUGUAGCGGUGGAAUGCGUAGAUAUCGGGAGGAACACCAGUGGCGAAGGCGGCCUACUGGGCACCAACUGACGCUGAGGCUCGAAAGUGUGGGUAGCAAACAGGAUUAGAUACCCUGGUAGUCCACACCGUAAACGAUGAUUACUAGGUGUUGGAGGAUUGACCCCUUCAGUGCCGCAGUUAACACAAUAAGUAAUCCACCUGGGGAGUACGACCGCA
rnacentral:rRNA from 1 species